rnacentral:tRNA from 1 species
GCCGGAGUGGCGGAAUUGGUAGACGCGCUAGAUUCAGGUUCUAGUAGGGUUCGCCCUGUGAAGGUUCAAGUCCUUUCUCCGGCACCA